UACGAAGGGGGCUAGCGUUGCUCGGAAUCACUGGGCGUAAAGCGCACGUAGGCGGCUUCUUAAGUCAGGGGGUGAAAUCCUGGAGCUCAACUCCAGAACUGCCUUUGAUACUGAGGAGCUUGAGUCCGGGAGAGGUGAGUGGAACUCCGAGUGUAGAGGUGAAAUUCGUAGAUAUUCGGAAGAACACCAGUGGCGAAGGCGGCUCACUGGCCCGGUACUGACGCUGAGGUGCGAAAGCGUGGGGAGCAAACAGG
rnacentral:rRNA from 1 species